rfam:TPA: Bos taurus chromosome 13, whole genome shotgun sequence.
UCCCUGGUGGUUCAGUGGCUAAGACUCUGUGCUCCCAAUGCAGGGACCCUGGGUUCCAUCCCUGGUCAGGGAA